rnacentral:rRNA from 1 species
UCGUACAAGGUUUCCGUAGGUGAACCUGCGGAAGGAUCAUUACCGAGUUUUCGAGCUUCGGCUCGACUCUCCCACCCUUUGUGAACGUACCUCUGUUGCUUUGGCGGCUUCGGCCGCCAAAGGACCUUCAAACUCCAGUCAGUAAACGCAGACGUCUGAUAAACAAGUUAAUAAACUAAAACUUUCAACAACGGAUCUCUUGGUUCUGGCAUCGAUGAAGAACGCAGCGAAAUGCGAUAAGUAAUGUGAAUUGCAGAAUUCAGUGAAUCAUCGAAUCUUUGAACGCACAUUGCGCCCCUUGGUAUUCCGGGGGGCAUGCCUGUUCGAGCGUCAUUACAACCCUCAAGCUCUGCUUGGAAUUGGGCACCGUCCUCACUGCGGACGCGCCUCAAAGACCUCGGCGGUGGCUGUUCAGCCCUCAAGCGUAGUAGAAUACACCUCGCUUUGGAGCGGUUGGCGUCGCCCGCCAGACGAACCUUCAAGCGUAGUAGAAUACACCUCGCUUUGGAGCGGUUGGCGUCGCCCGCCGGACGAACCUUCUGAACUUUUCUCAAGGUUGACCUCGGAUCAGGUAGGGAUACCCGCUGAACUUAAGCAUAUCAAUAAGCGGAGGA